AUUGAACGCUGGCGGCAUGCCUUACACAUGCAAGUCGAACGGCAGCACGGGAGCAAUCCUGGUGGCGAGUGGCGAACGGGUGAGUAAUAUAUCGGAACGUGCCCAGUCGUGGGGGAUAACGUAGCGAAAGCUACGCUAAUACCGCAUACGAUCUAUGGAUGAAAGCGGGGGAUCGCAAGACCUCGCGCGAUUGGAGCGGCCGAUAUCAGAUUAGGUAGUUGGUGAGGUAAAGGCUCACCAAGCCGACGAUCUGUAGCUGGUCUGAGAGGACGACCAGCCACACUGGAACUGAGACACGGUCCAGACUCCUACGGGAGGCAGCAGUGGGGAAUUUUUGGACAAUGGGCGCAAGCCUGAUCCAGCAAUGCCGCGUGCAGGAUGAAGGCCUCGGUUGUAACGUAGUACGUUUGUUACGGUAAC
rnacentral:rRNA from 1 species